rnacentral:rRNA from 1 species
UACGUAGGUGGCAAGCGUUGUCCGGAUUUAUUGGGUUUAAAGGGUGCGUAGGCGGUCUUAUAAGUCAGUGCUGAAAUAUCCCGGCUUAACCGGGAGGGCGGCAUUGAUACUGUAGGACUUGAGUAAAGUUGAGGUAGGCGGAAUUGACGGUGUAGCGGUGAAAUGCUUAGAUAUCGUCAAGAACACCGAUAGUGUAGACAGCUUACUAAGCUUUAACUGACGCUGAGGCACGAAAGUGUGGGGAUCAAACAGG